rnacentral:lncRNA from 1 species
UGCCCAGCUAAUUUUUGUAUUUUUAGUAGAGACAGGGUUUCACCAUAUUGGCCAGGCUGGUCUUGAACUCCUGACCUCGUGAUCUGCCUGCCUUGGCCUCCUAAAGUGCUGGGAUUACAGGCGUGAGCCACCACACCCCACCAAUGGGUACUACUUUAUAAAGGGCUUAUGUGCCAGCUGUUAUUUGAGCCUUAAACACCCAAAGAAUGAAUGUUUAAUAAAGCAUUUUUGGACAUGCCAAGGGCACCUCCAAGCACUAGGAAGGGUGAUAGUUCUCUUCAUUUGCAGACUGGGUGAGACCUGGAAAGUGGAGUGGGAAGCAGAGGCCCAGGGAACCAAGACACCUGGCUCCCCUCUUUGCUCUCUCCUGUUGCAGGCUGUGCCAGCUUUGGAGAGGGAAGAUGGGUGUUGGGCAGGGAGGUUCUAUCACUCAAGGCAUAGGCCCCAUAUAUCCACUCAGACUCUUUGGGUCGGUUCUUUGUUCUGGUGAGUGGAGGCUUAGAGGAAAGCAGCGGUACAGGGUGUGUGGAGGGACAGUUUUCCCUACCCAGAAGGACCUGCAGGUCCAGGAGUUUCUUGUCCAAGACUUGCAUCUAUUUGUGGGUAAAUCUGGAGCCCUCUGGACAGUAUGGUUUAAGCUGCGCACAGGGUUUGGGAUCAUGGC